CCUACGGGGGGCUGCAGUGGGGAAUAUUGGACAAUGGGGGCAACCCUGAUCCAGCCAUGCCGCGUGUGUGAAGAAGGCCCUCGGGUUGUAAAGCACUUUCAGUGAGGAAGAACGCCUGGUGGUUAAUACCCAUCAGGAAAGACAUCACUCACAGAAGAAGCCCCGGCUAACUCCGUGCCAGCAGCCGCGGUAAUACGGAGGGUGCGAGCGUUAAUCGGAAUUACUGGGCGUAAAGCGCGCGUAGGUGGCUUGAUAAGCCGGUUGUGAAAGCCCCGGGCUCAACCUGGGAACGGCAUCCGGAACUGUCAAGCUAGAGUGCAGGAGAGGAAGGUAGAAUUCCCGGUGUAGCGGUGAAAUGCGUAGAGAUCGGGAGGAAUACCAGUGGCGAAGGCGGCCUUCUGGACUGACACUGACACUGAGGUGCGAAAGCGUGGGUAGCAAACAGGAUUAGAUACCCUAGUAGUC
rnacentral:rRNA from 1 species